UGGAAAAAGACGCUGGGUUCCUCCCAGGCUACUCCCUAAAGGCAUCUUCCUUUCACACCUAGUGGAGUCCUCAGGGCUCAGUGACCCAACAAUGAACUCCAGUCACCCCCUGUGAUGACAAUGGGAACCAGGGCUCUUCUGCCUGACACAAGAAGUUCCUUUUACCAUUCCCUGGUGACUGUGGCUACAGUUUAGCCAGCUUUCCUUGAGAGAGGUACACCCAGGACCAGUGGGAGGACAAGACAGCUCUCUGCCCUGUUCUACCUUCACUCCAUCCCCAUUCUUUCCCUCUCCAUCUUUUCAUCCCUCUGUUCUGACAUCGGCUACAAGGAAGGAGCUACAGACAUCACCUGGUCCAUCAUCCCUCAUUUUACAAAGGAGACCAAAGGAAGGACCAGGAUUUCCCCAAGGUCACAAUAGUAGUUUGAUUAGUUCAUCCACUUCUCUCUGACUCCCUCCACUAAGACAGGCUACCUGCUCUUCAUGGGAAACCUAGAACAAGUUUUAUCAACUCCCUGAGCUUCCUCAUCUGCAAACUGGGGAUAAGGAUACAGCAAAAGGAUCACUGAGUCUGGAGUCGGAGGACCCACAUUGCAAUCCAGACUCCGACACUGCCUGCAUGAGCCUGGACAGGUUUCUUAAUCUCUCUAGACCUCAGUUUCCUCAUCUGUAAAGAAAGGGGAGGUGGACUAGAUAUUUCUCUAAAGUCCCUUCUACCUCUGAAUCAAUAAUCCUUCUUGGUCUACCUACCUCCCAGGGUAGUCCUAGAGAACAGCCUUGGCAGACUCGAUCAUCUUGGGUGGCGUUGCCUGCUGAGACUCCUCCCAUAAUACCUGGAUGGGCAAGGUUGAUUGGAGAAGUAGCUGCCUCCUGGUAGGACACUUCUUGUACCCCCCCAGAGGAUGCCCUCCCCCAGGGGUCAGUCAGGCAGUCAAUAAACAUUUAUUAUGAUGAGGAAGUCCAGGAGAGCCAACAUAUGGAAAAGGAUGAGAUGGCUCUGGGCCCCCUCCUUCAAUGACGGCACUGGCAGGAGCUGUCCAAUGUCCAGGUUCAUCUGCCCUCUAAGCAGAGGGAAGGAGGGGAGGGGUUCAUGGGGGCAGGGAUCACGAAGAUCUGAGUUUCAGAGUUGAAGUGAUCUAGCAGGAAGAUGAGUUUUUGAAGACAAUGAUAAAGUUCAAGAAAGCAAUCAGAAUGGAUGGGAGCUCUAGGUAUAUAGGACGCAGACUUGAAUCUACAGCUGAGACCUCAUCAGAUCAGAAAAAGCCUUGUCCCCAUUUCCUGCCCUCCCUCCAGAGACCCUGCUUUUGUGGCUGCAUCCUGAGAAGCAAGGCCAUGCUCCAUGAACGGACCCCCAUAUGCCCUCCAACCUAUCCCUGCAGUUUCUCCAAAGCUUCCCCCCAGGUAAAUUUCUUAAGAGAGUCCCCCCAUGACCUGGGUUUCCCCACUCGCCGUGCAGAGCUCCCACAGACUGGCCUUAACUAAGGGUCAAAGAACUGACAUCACCAAAGUUCAUGCUCUCCGACCAGGACCACUGAGGCAUCCAGCCUGAAUCUCCUUUCCUGCCAUUCAGACAGCCCACCAGCUAUCCCUCACCAGAGACUCCCAGGCUCACAAAGCUUCUUCUAGUUCUCUGGUGGCCCUAUCUCAGCACUGGAACAGGACCAAAGGAAGAAUGAAAUCUCCACCCUUCCGAUUUGGGCCUUGAGAGUUGGCUAACCUUCCCUUCUCCCCUCCCCUCCAAGAUGCCCUCCUUCUGUCCCCUCUGUCCUACCCACCUACUUACCUGCCAAUUUAUUAAAUUCAUUCAUUCUCCCAUUCA